ensembl:lncRNA
UGUCAGCGGUAGCGUUGCGCCGGAGGAAGCCUGUCGAGAAGGCAGUUCUUUAUUUAUAGAAGGGUGAGGGAUGUCUCCCAAAAAUCUAAGAGGAGCGGAGACAGUGGAGCCCUGCUGCGUGGGGAAAGAAUCCGUUUCCUAUCCAGAUAGAAGAAACGCAUCAUAGCGAGGAGCAGCCUGGUGGGAGGGAGAGAACCCGUGAGCCCCGUUCUCUUCAGGAGUGCCAGGAUGUGCCAAAGCAGAUGGCCUCAGUCAGUUCCUCCUGGCCUUCGUUUGACUGGUCUCAGAAGUGACUUUCUGUUCCUGCUUCAAUAUUCUUUCUUUUUAAUAUACACCACUGGAACAGAGCACAGUGUUCUUGACAGUAUCAUGCCAGACACAAGGACAGUGGUAUUAAUCCAUUCUAAACUAUGUUAGGAAUAUUGCUCCCAAGACCUCUUAUGGCCUUGUUUUCCAUGUCAUGUUGGCAGCUCUUCUGGGGUCAGCUACUGUGUGCAGUGAGACUUCCCUCUCUCACUUCUCUCCCAAACUUCAAAGAGGUUGGUCAGGGUCUACCUUUCUUUGCUGUCCCUUCUGUAUAAAAUGUAGGGACUGCAGACAAAACUAGCUGGUGAUAAAUUCAAAACAACGAAGAGAGGUAAUUAGUGUCAUGUCAGAGAAAUACAGAAUGGCUCGGGUUGGAAGGGACCUUAAAGAUUACCAGGCUCCAACCCCACUGCUGUAGGUUUAUUGCCUCCAAUUAGAUCAGGCUGCCCAGGGCCUCAUUCAGCCUGACCUUGAAUAUCUCCAGGGAUGGGGCAUCCACAACUUCUCUGGGCAGUCUGUUCCAGGGCCUCACCACUCUGAGUAAAUAAUUUCCUCCUCAUGUUUUACCUAAAUCUCCCCUCUCUUAGUUUAAAACCAUCCCACCUUGUCCUAUUCCUACAUCCCCUGACAAAGAAUCAGUCAUCAGCCUCCUAGAGCCAUAUUGAGGAACUAUAAUCUUGUGGAGAUGAACAUCAUCAUCCAUACUUUGCAUUUGAAAUGUUAGAAUUUGAGCUCACACAUCCUCAGUGAUGGCAGAGCAACACUUACAGUGAUCAGUACAAACAGGGAAAAGUCCAGCGACGUAAGAGGUACAGAAGCAUUUGUCAGAUUAGGUUUGAGAGCAAGUCCUUGUGUUGAGCCUUCAGCUCAAACCAUAAAGGCUUUGAAAGUGUAUUUGGUAGAGCAGAAUGAAUUCAGUAUAUCCCGCUGCUUUUAAGAAAUAUUUGUUCAAGAAAUAGUAAUCUCUGCAUACUGUGAGAAAUUAGGGCCCAAUGGAUUCCAUACAAUAUAAACCAGAAGCACCAACCUCACCUUCAACCUGACCCUGC